GAUCUGGCUCAGGACGAACGCUGGCGGCGUGCCUAACACAUGCAAGUCGAACGGAAGUUAGAGCUUCGGUUUUAACUUUAGUGGCGAACGGGUGAGUAACGCGUGAGGAACCUGCCUUUCAGUGGGGGACAACAGUUGGAAACGACUGCUAAUACCGCAUGACACUUUUGGGAGACAUCUCCUAAAAGUCAAAGCUUUAUGUGCUGAAAGAUGGCCUCGCGUCUGAUUAGCUAGUUGGUGAGGUAACAG
rnacentral:rRNA from 1 species